ACUCAAAUGAAUUGACGGGGGCCCGCACAAGCGGCGGAGCAUGCGGAUUAAUUCGAUGCAACGCGAAGAACCUUACCAAGGCUUGACAUGCGCGGUGGAAUCCCAGAGAUGGGGUGUCAUUUAGUUGGUCGCGUACAGGUGGUGCAUGGUUGUCGUCAGCUCGUGUCGUGAGAUGUUGGGUUAAGUCCCGCAACGAGCGCAACCCUCGUUCCAUGUUGCCAGCACGUUAUGGUGGGGACUCAUGGGAGACUGCCGGGGUCAACUCGGAGGAAGGUGGGGAUGACGUCAAAUCAUCAUGCCCCUUAUGUCUUGGGCUUCACGCAUGCUACAAUGGCCAGUACAGAGGGCUGCGAUACCGUGAGGUGGAGCGAAUCCCAAAAAGCUGGUCUCAGUUCGGAUCGGGGUCUGCAACUCGACCCCGUGAAGUCGGAGUCGCUAGUAAUCGCAGAUCAGCAACGCUGCGGUGAAUACGUUCCCGGGCCUUGUACACACCGCCCGU
rnacentral:rRNA from 1 species